UAAUAAAGUACCUACAUACCUACGUCACCUGUAGCUACUACGUCUCCACAAAGCUUUGAAAGUUUAAAGCUUGUUUUAAAUCGCACAGAUAUAUGCAGCAGCAAGUAUCUUAGCAAAACAAAAAAAUUUGAUCUCUUUCUGAUUCAAGAUUCUAGUUAUUAUUUAAUCUUUCUGAAAUAAAUAUAGGACAUUAACUUUUCUGAUAAAUAUAAUUCCGAAUUAGGAUGAGUUACUUUAAUGAUUCAACCGAUACUUUUAAUGAUUCAACUGAUGACGAGCAGUGUCAAGAUCGUCGUAGCUAUUUGAUAGGAGAAUUCAGAUGAAGGAUUUCUGACUGAUUUAGAAGAUGUGAUUGGCUGUUGCAAAUUCAUGAAGCUGGUAAAGUUGCUGUUGAUUGGGAGUUUUCUUUAAAGAACAAUUGCUGCCAGCUCUAAAUAUAUCUUAAUGAGUAAAUAUCUACCUGAUUUUUUCAUUGCAGGUCCACAUAUAAGAAAAACAAGUACCAGAGGUUCACAUUUAAUAAGGAAGAUGCAGAUACAUAGACAAUCAAAACCGACAAAAUUCCAAGAGCUCUACACUCUUUAAAAUCAUAAAGCCACCUUCAAGAUGCAGAAUGUACUUUAAACCCUCCUUAUAAUAGUUCUACAAAGUGAACCACUUAUUCAUACAUUUUGCGAAAAGCUUACAAAAGCACCUUCCUCAAAAAUGGCUGCAAUUUGCCUGAAAGUUGAGGUGGCUUUCCAAAGUAAGGAUUGAUUUACUUGGAACUUACACUGAAGACAAUGCUUCACAAGCUAGAGAUGAUACUCAUAAGUGUAUUGUGACCUCCCUUGGUGAUCCCAAUACUUUUUUGAUGGACCAUCUACUGGCCCUGGAACCUGUGUGUUUCCUGGAAGGAGAAUUUAUUCAUGAUUUUCUCACCAUAUUUGUAUCAGAAAAACUUUCAUCCUACUUGAUGCUGUCAACAAAGAUAUUGUGAACUCUUUAGCUCUUUAAAUGUUUGAAAACCUGUGCCAGACCUCCGUGAAUUUCUAAAACAUUGGAAGUUGAAUGGAGCCAGUGUGGACAUGUCCACGCUAGACCCACCACCACGUGUCUACACUACCACCACGAAGAUAUGUAUUUGUUUUUGUUUAAUGCUGGUUAAUUGAAACUGUACAGAUCAAAAUUUAAUAUCAAGGCCUUGACCUUGAGGAUCGCAAGCUGGCCGAAUCAGCACCCACACUUGUGGAGAUCAAGGUCGAGGGGGAUGAAUACUCUAUCAACACCAUUUUCUACAAAAACAAGGAAAUUAAAUUCAAGCUUGGCCAGGAGUUUGAAGAAAAGAGAUUCAAUGGUGACACAGCCAAGACGGUGGUUACACGUGAAGGAAACAAACUUAUCCAAAUUAAGCAUGGGGAUAAAAUAGUAAAAAAAGUCAGCGAAUUUUCUGGAGAUACCAUGACAGUCACAUGUGAAGUUGGCAGUGUUGUUUCCACAAGAGUCUUCAAACGACAGUAAGUGCAUGUCGUUCAGUCGUCAUCUCAUCGAUAUCUGGACACAUAUUUUACCGGUCAAGUGCCACCCCACAACAUACAAUUCCAAUAUAGAAUAGAAAUGUUUUAAUUUUCCGAUAUUUUGUGUAACGGUGAACUAUUUGUGUCGAUUCUAAAGAUGCUCACGCAUUUUAAAAAUGUCUGUACACCAACGAAAUAACAUCUGAAUUGUUUUUCCUAUGUCUAAUAAAAUAUUGAAAUUAUAAA
rnacentral:misc_RNA from 1 species